rnacentral:rRNA from 1 species
GACGAACGCUGGCGGCGUGCUUAACACAUGCAAGUCGAACGGCAAGGCCCUGCUUUUUUGGGGUUCUCGAUUGGCGAACGGGUGAGUAACACGUGAGUAACCUGCCCUUGACUUUGGGAUAACUUCAGGAAACUGGGGCUAAUACCGGAUAGGAUCUCCUGCUGCAUGGUGGGGGUUGGAAAGUUUCGGCGGUUGGGGAUGGACUCGCGGCUUAUGAGCUUGUUGGUGGGGUAGUGGCUUACCAAGGCUUUGACGGUUAGCCGGCCUGAGAGGGUGACCGGCCACAUUGGGACUGAGAGACGGAGCAGACUCGUACGGGAGGCAGCAGUGGGGAAUAUUGCACAAUGGGAGGAAGCCUGAGGCAGAAACGCCGCGUGCGGGAUGACGGCCUGCGGGUUGUAAACAGCUUUAGCCUGUGACGAAGCGGGAGUGACGGUAAUGGGUAAAGAAGCACCGGCUAACUACGUG